rnacentral:rRNA from 1 species
AUGGCCACGGCGCAUGCGAGUCGGCCCAACGGGCCAGUGCUCUCCACACCCAACUGCCGCUCCGCCUCACCCAGCCCCGGCAAGCUCGCCGGCGGCGACGCCACCCACUCGCCGGGCAAGUCCGUUAGCGGCUCAUCUCCGUCCUCCACCAGGAGCCGGCAGUCCUGCACGUGCUCCUCGACGAAGACGAACCACCCGGGCUCAUUUCGGUGCAGCAUCCACAAGGCGCGCAAGCAGGCGGCCCCAGCCGGCAGCAAGCCCGCCUCCCCGUCGUCCAUCCACGGUCUGGGAUCGAAACGAAUGAACAGCAGGCAGUGCGCCCGCAGGGCCCUCGCGCCGUCCCCCGCGGCACAGCACUCGCAACACCUGAGGCGCGCGGGAGGGUUAAUCCCCAGGACGAGUAGGCUCUCCGCCAUGUCCACGGCCAGCGAGCGUCCCAGCAACAAGCAGGACUUUAUCAGUUUGGUUGUGGAAGUUAGCGUAGUUUUUCUUGGUUGGUUGUGGAAGGCGAUAUUUUAUCAGAGGCGGGGGAACCUCGCCCGGGCAAAUUAG